rnacentral:lncRNA from 1 species
UGGCUUAGACACGACGGAGUGAAGCGACCGGAGCUUCUAAGGCUGGUUCUGUGGUACUGUCGUACAACUGGUUCGCAGUGGCGACUUAAUUCUCGCUGCUCUCCUGGUGAAGUCAUUCUGCCUUCACGCAGAAGAGCAUACAGCCUUGUCCAAUUGUCAGUGUGACAGGCUGUACUUGAAGCCUUACCAAUUCAAGUUCCGAUCUACAUCGCUUGAGUUCUUAUGAUUCCUACUUAGUUCAUUUAAAUGUCAACUAUUAAUGACAAUGUGCCAUCGACUGAGACUGUAGCCACCGUUCCAGGUGGGACCGGUGGUGGGUUGGGCGCCAUUGGGUCCUCCCCGCCGGCCGGUGCUGCUAAGACGGGCGCUGCCGUUUU